UACAGAGGGUGCAAGCGUUGUUCGGAAUUAUUGGGCGUAAAGGGCGCGUAGGCGGUGCGGUAAGUCACCUGUGAAACCUCUGGGCUUAACUCAGAGCCUGCAGGCGAAACUGCCGUGCUUGAGUGUGGGAGAGGUGCGUGGAAUUCCUGGUGUAGCGGUGAAAUGCGUAGAUAUCAGGAGGAACACCUGUGGCGAAAGCGGCGCACUGGACCACAACUGACGCUGAGGCGCGAAAGCUAGGGGAGCAAACAGG
rnacentral:rRNA from 1 species